UGCAGCCUGGAGCAUUCAGAGCAGCCUGGGCCUCGUAGGGGAGCUGAGAGGUUUCACGGUAAUCUUGUGAAAUGGCUUGGGGAGGUGGAAGGCAACUUCUGACCAUCUUGGGAAGUCACACUGAGGAGCAUGGUGCCCAGUAAGGGGUGCCAGAUUGGAGCAUCUUGCUGCGCAGAGCCCUCCAGUACAAAGGCCUCCACUUUCACAUCCGUAAUUCUUUCAAUCUGUCUUUCAUCUGCUGAAGACCCACUAAGGGGACUCAGAGAUCACCAACAUCCUACCCACUCACUUUGAAGGAGACCUGCUCUGAGUCCUAAUCACCAGUCUACACCUGGACUCCCCUUGGUUGCAGUGAUUGGCUAAGUGACUGACACGUGACCCAAGCCAGUCCAAUCAGAGUGAGUUCUGGGACUAGAAAAGGAGUUUCUGGACAAAAGCUUGCUUUUUGCCUAUGUGGAACUAGAGGGCUGAACCUGAAGUUAUUUUUCUUUUUCAUUUCUUUGUAAUUUGUAUGGACUUGUUUUAUUCUGUUCACAUUGUUCUACAGCCUACACAAAAAACAAAAACCUAAUCUGUUUUCUAAGACUAGGUCAGGGGCAAGUGGCCAAAAAGGAAAACAGCACAAUGAGCUAUAUAAGAAGGGCUCAGGCAUCCUGGACAAUCCAGCUUGCCUGUCACACGAUGUUUUUAAAGCUGUAAUUAUGGCUACAGGAGACUUUCCUGUCUUCGCAGCAGCCACAUGGCUGCUACCUGUGAGACUCCUAAGAUGGGCUGAGGUGAUGAGGGUGCCGCUGGCAGUGGGCCUUGGGCUGUGGGGUGAGGGCUUUGGGCAGGGUGGAAGGAGAAGGGGCAGGCUACUGCCCUGCUGAUGUGAGCGAUGAAGAGUAAGAAGCCAGGAAGGCGGGGCAGAAUCGAGGGCCCUAACUCUGGCAUCAGUCCAGCAAGGCUUUCGACCAAACCUGGCUGGCAAAGCCAUGUAUGGGGGAAACCAACUGUUGGGCCAACAAUCCGUGUUAUAAAUGAACUUGGAGAGAAUCAGAGACUACUUAUAUCUUCAAGAAUAACUGCCCACCAGGCUUACAGACACAGUGUUCCCAGGGUGGGUCAUCAGGCAACUGUGUUUCAUAACACAGCAAUAAAUAGGAGAUUGAGAUUACAGUGAGAAACCAGUUUGGACUUCCCCGUGGGCUGGCACAGUGCCUAUCACUCAGAGCAGGGAUGUGAUCAUUCCGUGCCUACUGCUGUAGUAUGCCAACUGAUGCCAGCCUCAGGCUUUGGCACAACACAUUCCUGCCUGAUGUGCUCUUUUGCCCCCUAUCACCUGGCUCAUCAUCUAGGUCUCAGCCUCAGGCCACUUUUCCCUGAAGCGCUCCUGACUCCUAAGGCUGGGUUGCAGCCCCUGACCUUGGGGCCCCUGCGGUUCUUGUAAGGACAGAGACAUCUUCUCUAGUGGUCUCCUCUGUCCACAGAACCUAACCUAGCACCUAAAAUAUGCUUGCUGCCUGAAUAUGUAAAUAAAUAAACAAACAGACAGCAUGAAUCGUGUCUCUGAUUCAUCUCCAGGUGAGCUUCACCUCGGGUAAUUUUGUGAGCAUGUGACCAGCAGCAUCCCACAGGCCCUGUGCUCAGAAGAAAGUGCCUUAGGCUUGGUCACGAUAAACAAAUAUCACCAUCAUUGUCUUGAAAUUCUUAUCUCUGAAUUUGCAUUUUGUGAGUAAAGUCUGAUGGAACCAGAGGACUUGGAGCCUCAGCUUACACAGAGUCCUGCUUUCCUAUCCUGCCCGCCAACUCCCUGCCCCAUGAUGACCACUGCCCUCCACCCCAGCAGGCACACACACUCAGGGACACUCAGCAACAUAGUCCCUGCCCAGGGCUAAGCACUGUAGGACGAGCCAGGGGUUGUGUCUCCACAAGGUGGAGACUUCCAUACAUCCCUGCUGUGGUUCCAGAGCGUGUUAGCUGGAGGCUUGGAAACACUCCUGGGCUGGGGCAGCAGGUUAUGGGGGUUGGGGAUUCUCAGCUUCUCUAGCCCUAGCCUGGCAGGGCAGGUUGUGUCAGCCCGGUUACUGGCAGGAAGAGGAACCCAGCACCCUGAAACCCAAAUGAGUGUGAGUGUCCCAUGUCUCAGGGCCCCCAUACCUGGGAGCUUUUGUAUUCUUCCCACUAGUGUCCCUGGGCCCGGAAAUGUUUCAGCAGAUGGAUCUUUGCUUGGUAUAUAUUGUAUUUUUCUCUUCCUCUUCCCAGCCUGAGUGUGUUGUGGCCACUUGAGGCUCCCUCCUGGGAUGACUCAUUGAAAACAAAUUGUGUAAUUUUAGUGAUUUUGCUUUUGUACUAAAUGACCUGGAAUCUGUAUUUAAGACUAGAAUGGCACAAUAUAAAGACAAGCAGUAAAUUCAUACUAGUAAUGAAAAAAAUCUAUUAUUUCUUUACUUAGAACAAUAUCAGAUAGCAAAUAAAAAGUGCCAUAAGAAGUACAGAGUCACCAUGGAAGAAAAAGAAAUUUCCUAUGGACUUUCAUAGUCCUUUUAUUUUUUCCUAUUGUUUGAAUAAAGAGUCCUGGAUUUCAAUUUUGCAUUGACCGUGUUCCAGUUCAUGUUUGUUGAAUGAAAGAAUAAGUACAUAAAUGUCUUUAUUAAAAAGUGGGACACACUGAUUAUUUUCUACCUCCUGACAAUACUGUGUAUAAUCAGGAUUGCAGAUAGGUUAUAAGUAUCUGAAUAACAAAAUUGCCCAGAAAAUAUAUGACUACACUCUGUCACUCAAUGAUGGGUGGAGAUCUGAGAAAUUCAUUGGAGACUUUAUCAUUGCAGGGGCAUCACAGAGUAUACUUGCAUGAACCUAGACAGUCUAGGCCAAGUGCCUGAUGCGGCCUCUUGAUGCAAUCAGGAAAAGCAGUAACCGUGAGAUGUGCGAGGCUAAUGUGUCCUUGUAAGUUGAAAGAGUACUUUUUAAAACAACCAUAAGUAUAGUACUGCAAGUGCAUAAAUGAGUACUGUGAUUGUUUAUUAUCAUUAUCGUGUGCUACGUGUAAUUAUGAGUUUUACCUUCAAAAACUGGCAAUAGAGUGAUUUGUUCACAUCAGUGUCACACAAAUUCGGGAGGAAUGCAUUGUGUUAUGAUGGCUCGAAGUCACGAGGCGACAGGGGUGGUUCAGUUCCACUGGGACUACCGUGGCCUAGUGCCAUCCGCAGCUGACGGGAAGGCGGUAUUCGCACCCUGACUGUGUGCUUCUACUGGGGGAUUCCCGCGGCUCCAAAGUCAUCACUUUCUCAGCACCAGCUUUCAUGUCUCACUCGAUCCUGGCUCUGGCCUUGCUGGAGCAGCUUGUAUUAAACUAAUCCUCCAACAGACAGCAACUAUAAACUCCAGACAAAAUUUUAAAACAACUAUUUAUAGAAAGCAGACAAAGUAGAGGGUGUUCAACUCGUGAAAAUGGUAAACGUACUGAGAUACAUGCACGCACACACACUCCUGCACACACACAUUGUAGAGGGACGCAAGCCCUGCAGUGAAAGAUCUGUGUGCAUCUUGCUGAUGGAACGUGUAAUACGCACAUACUGUGUUUUUGGUGUCACUUCUGUUUAUCCAAUCUUGUUUGCUCUUGUUGGUUUUUUUUUUUUUUUUUUUCCUUUAAGGUCAGGUCCAUUGGAUCACAAUGUACCCAAAACAAAAUGCACACUUUUUAAUGGUGUCAUUCCAUGAGUUAUAAAAAACAUAUAAAAUUGUGUAACUGUCACUGCAAUAGAUACAGAGUAACUUCCAUUAGAACCAACAGGUCCUUCACCCUUCCUUGGAAGUCCAUGUGCCACCCCUGAUCCUGGCCCCCGGCAAAGGCGGAUCUGAUUUCUAUCACUAUACCAUGGGCUUGCAGGAUGCCCUGUAAAUGGAAUCAUACUGAAUGUAAUGUUUUAUACCUGUUUUUUUUUUUUACUUACAUAAUGCUUCCAAGAUUCAUCUGCUUUGCUGUAAUGUAAUAAAUUACUCCUAUUAUGGCUGAGUAGCAUCCCAUUGUGUGUCUAUAUCCUAAGUUAUGGAGAUUUGGGUUGCUUUCAGUUUUGGGUUAUUCUUAAUAAAUCUGCUAUAAGUA